AGCAGCCGCGGUAAUUCCAGCUCCAAUAGCGUAUAUUAAAGUUGUUGCAGUUAAAAAGCUCGUAGUUGAAUUUCGGGGUUAGUAGGUUGGUCAUGCCUCUGGUACGUACUGGUCUCACUGAUUCCUCCUUCCUGAUGAGCCGUAAUGCCAUUAAUUUGGUGUUGCGGGGAAUUUGGACUGUUACUUUGAAAAAAUUAGAGUGUUUAAAGCAAGCUAACGCUUGAAUACAUUAGCAUGGAAUAAUGAAAUAGGACGUUCGAUCCUAUUUUGUUGGUUUCUUAGGAUUUGACGUAAUGAUUAAUAGGGAUAGUUGGGGGGCAUUAGUAUUCAAUUGUCAGAGGUGAAAUUCUUGGAUUUAUUGAAGACUAACUACUGCGAAAGCAUUUGCCAAGGAUGUUUUCAUUAAUCAAGAACGAAAGUUAGGGGAAUCGAAGACGAUCAGAUACCGUCGUAGUCUUAACCAUAAACUAUGCCGACUAGGGAUCGGAUGAUGUUAAUUUUUUAAUGUACUCAUUCGGCG
rnacentral:rRNA from 1 species